rnacentral:rRNA from 1 species
AGAGCGGGCARGCMUCACGGCUGCGCCCGGGCGGGCAACCCCCGCGACUCUUCAACCCUGUGUGUACCAACCAUUGUUGCUUCGGCGAGCGUUGGGGCGCCCCGCGCCCCGGCCCCGGCCUCGGUCGGUGAGUUCUCGUCAGAGGCCCAACCUCAUUCUGUUCACAGUGACGUCCGAGUACACCGAUUAAACCAAUCAAAACUUUCAACAACGGAUCUCUUGGUUCUGGCCUCGAUGAAGAACGCAGCGAAAUGCGAUAAGUAAUGUGAAUUGCAGAAUUCAGUGAAUCAUCGAAUCUUUGAACGCACAUUGCGCCCCUUGGUAUUCCGGGGGGCAUGCCUGUUCGAGCGUCAUUGCAACCCUCAAGCUUUGCUUGGUGCUGGGCUUCGCCUCCCCGUGUCAGGGGCGGCGUGCCCGCAAAUUAGUGGCGGUCCGGGGAGACUUCAAGCGCAGUAAAUCUUUCACGCUUCCGAGGUCUCGCCCGCGGUCCUGCCGGAAA